GGAAAAAAUGCUGAUUGGUUAUAAGCAUAAAGUGCUGCAGAGCAUGUGUGAGUAAGCAUACAAACAAAGCUUCCCUCCCUCUGGAAUUAAUUAAAAUACUAAGCCUGGCCUUGUAGGCAUCAAUUUUACUAUGAUAAUAAGGCCUUUCUACGACCUUUCAUCUUUUGCCUACGUGUUGCAUCCCCAAAAAGCAUGUAUUUGUGCCUGAUAAGGGGAUGCCUUGCAGCUUCGUGUGUUUACAACUAACAUCUUCUGUUUUUUCCAGGGCGUGCCUGCAGCGACAAAAAACACCUCCUGUCCUUUUCCAGGGUGCGUGUCUCUCAGUUGGGCAGUUUCCUCACAGUCCAAGCUUGUUCCAGACACUCCUUUUUUUCUUUCUGGCCAGCGUGAUACCAGCUUUGUGAGCCAAGGGGCAAAGAUUGUCCCUUGAAUUCAGACUGUCUGGAGUCCACAGAUCUACCACUGUACAAAGGAGCAACUGAGGAUCACCCAUCCAGUUUUACACGGUGAACAG
rnacentral:lncRNA from 1 species